rnacentral:rRNA from 1 species
CGGGUGAGUAACACGUGGGUGAUCUGCCCUGCACUCUGGGAUAAGCCUGGGAAACUGGGUCUAAUACCGGAUAGGACCGCACUUUAGUGUGUGUGGUGGAAAGUUUUUUCGGUGUAGGAUGAGCCCGCGGCCUAUCAGCUUGUUGGUGGGGUAAUGGCCUACCAAGGCGGCGACGGGUAGCCGGACUGAGAGGUUGGUCGGCCACAUUGGGACUGAGAUACGGCCCAG